rnacentral:rRNA from 1 species
GAUGAACGCUGGCGGCGUGCCUAAUACAUGCAAGUCGAGCGAACGGACGAGAAGCUUGCUUCUCUGAUGUUAGCGGCGGACGGGUGAGUAACACGUGGAUAACCUACCUAUAAGACUGGGAUAACUUCGGGAAACCGGAGCUAAUACCGGAUAAUAUUUUGAACCGCAUGGUUCAAAAGUGAAAGACGGUCUUGCUGUCACUUAUAGAUGGAUCCGCGCUGCAUUAGCUAGUUGGUAAGGUAACGGCUUACCAAGGCAACGAUGCAUAGCCGACCUGAGAGGGUGGUCGGCCACACUGGAACUGAGACACGGUCCAGACUCCUACGGGAGGCAGCAGUAGGGAAUCUUCCGCAAUGGGCGAAAGCCUGACGGAGCAACGCCGCGUGAGUGAUGAAGGUCUUCGGAUCGUAAAACUCUGUUAUUAGGGAAGAACAUAUGUGUAAGUAACUGUGCACAUCUUGACGGUACCUAAUCAGAAAGCCACGGCUAACUACGUGCCAGCAGCCGCGGUAAUACGUAGGUGGCAAGCGUUAUCCGGAAUUAUUGGGCGUAAAGCGCGCGUAGGCGGUUUUUUAAGUCUGAUGUGAAAGCCCACGGCUCAACCGUGGAGGGUCAUUGGAAACUGGAAAACUUGAGUGCAGAAGAGGAAAGUGGAAUUCCAUGUGUAGCGGUGAAAUGCGCAGAGAUAUGGAGGAACACCAGUGGCGAAGGCGACUUUCUGGUCUGUAACUGACGCUGAUGUGCGAAAGCGUGGGGAUCAAACAGGAUUAGAUACCCUGGUAGUCCACGCCGUAAACGAUGAGUGCUAAGUGUUAGGGGGUUUCCGCCCCUUAGUGCUGCAGCUAACGCAUUAAGCACUCCGCCUGGGGAGUACGACCGCAAGGUUGAAACUCAAAGGAAUUGACGGGGACCCGCACAAGCGGUGGAGCAUGUGGUUUAAUUCGAAGCAACGCGAAGAACCUUACCAAAUCUUGGCAUCCUUUGACAACUCUAGAGAUAGAGCCUUCCCCUUCGGGGGACAAAGUGACAGGUGGUGCAUGGUUGUCGUCAGCUCGUGUCGUGAGAUGUUGGGUUAAGUCCCGCAACGAGCGCAACCCUUAAGCUUAGUUGCCAUCAUUAAGUUGGGCACUCUAAGUUGACUGCCGGUGACAAACCGGAGGAAGGUGGGGAUGACGUCAAAUCAUCAUGCCCCUUAUGAUUUGGGCUACACACGUGCUACAAUGGACAAUACAAAGGGCAGCGAAACCGCGAGGUCAAGCAAAUCCCAUAAAGUUGUUCUCAGUUCGGAUUGUAGUCUGCAACUCGACUACAUGAAGCUGGAAUCGCUAGUAAUCGUAGAUCAGCAUGCUACGGUGAAUACGUUCCCGGGUCU